GAAAUGCGAUAAGUAAUGUGAAUUGGAGAAUUCAGUGAAUCAUCGAAUCUUUGAACGCACCUUGCGCUCCUUGGUAUUCCUUGGAGCAUGCCUGUUUGAGUAUCAUGAAAUCUUCAAAGUAAAUCUUUUGUUAACUCAAUUGGUUUCUACUUUGGUAUUGGAGGUCUUUGCAGCUUCACACCUGCUCCUCUUUGUUCAUUAGCUGGAUCUCAGUGUUAUGCUUGGUUCCACUCGGCGUGAUAAGUUAUCUAUCGCUGAGGACACUGUAAAAGGUGGCCAAGGUAAAUGCAGAUGAACCGCUUCUAAUAGUCCAUUGACUUGGACAAUACUUUUAUGAUCUGAUCUCAAAUCAGGUAGGACUACCCGCUGAACUUAAGC
rnacentral:misc_RNA from 1 species